rnacentral:rRNA from 1 species
AUUGAACGCUGGCGGCAGGCCUAACACAUGCAAGUCGAGCGGAGCGGCGGACGGGUGAGUAAUGCCUAGGAAUCUGCCUGGUAGUGGGGGAUAACUUCCGGAAACGGGCGCUAAUACCGCAUACUAUCAGAUGAGCCUUGGUGGGAUUAGCUAGUUGGUGGGGUAAAGGACUACCAAGUCUACGAUCCGUAACUGGUCUGAGAGGAUGAUCAGUCACACUGGAACUGAGACACGGUCCAGACUCCUACGGGAGGCAGCAGUGGGGAAUAUUGGACAAUGGGCGAAAGCCUGAUCCAGCCAUGCCGCUUGUGUGAAGAAGGUCUUCGGAUUGUAAAGCACUUUAAGUUGGGAGGCGUUACCAACAGAAUAAGCACCGGCUAAAGAAGGGACAGCAGCCGCGGUAAUUC